GCAGCCUCUCCUCUGGCCGCCUCCGUCCCAAUCUCCGUCCCCGUCUCCGUCCGACGCGGCCCGCACCGGAGCAGCAGCCGGGCCAAAGGACCCCCACACCGACGAGGCCAUAGCAGCAGCCGGUAGUCCUUCUCCUCCUCCUCCCCGUUCUCCUCCGCCCCUGCCAAGACCCUGCCUCCUCCGCCACUGCCUUGACCCGGCCGCGUCCGCCCCUGCCUCGACCCGGCCUCCUCCGCUCCUGCCUCUACAGUUCAAGAGUUGUGUUCAAAUUGGCUGCCGAAUGGACUGAGGAUAACACUAGGAUUAUCGCUGAGUUGUUCGUCGAGCAAGUGCAGUUGGGAAAUAGGCGAAAGACUCACUUGACACCUGCUACAUAUGAGGAGGUUGCUUGUAAAUUCAAAAUGCUGACCAGUAAGGAGUACAAGCAGUGUCAACUGAAAAACAAAUGGGACAAACUGAAAGGUGAGUACAGCAUAUUCAAGAGACUGAAAAUGCAGACCGGAGGGUGAUGGAACUUAGAGAAAAACACUGUGACACAAGAUGCUGAGUGGUGGAAGAAGGCCAAAAAGAACAUUCCUGGUUGCGGCAAGUUCAAGAAGCAGGGGCUUUGCAAUGAAGAGAACCUAAGAUCAUGUUUGAAGACAUCACUAGUGAUGGUACAGAUCAUUGGAAUCCUACUUCGGGCGUACCACCUCCUUCCAGUGAAGCAUUAGCAGAUGCUAUGAAUGUUGAUGACAUCCAAGAUCUUGAUAAUGAAGAUACCGAAAUGCAACCAAGUCCAGGUAAUGCAGGAGCUAGUACCUCAGUCAAGAGGCUUGGAAAGUUUGUUCAUGAAGGGAGCAAGAAACCCAAGACUGCAAUGGUGAUGCAGGAGCAGAUUACAAGGAUCGCUGAUGUUGCUGUGCAAUCCCAAUCCUCUUUUGAGUCUUUCAUACGAGCUGAUGAUGCUAGCUCCGUGAAGACUGUCAUGGAUGCUGACAUAGAAUGUGGCGCUAAUGAAGGUAGUGAUGAGCACUACAUAGCCACUGAGUUGUUCGCCAAGAGAGACCUAAGGGAGAUUUUUAUGCACAUGAGUGUUGGGUCUCGUUUGGCUUGGCUUCGCAGGAAGUAUGACCACAAGUAUCCGAAGUAGAUGGUUCAAUUUUAUUUAUGUGUAAUGGUUGCAUGCUAUCGAGACUAUUUGUGCACUUUGUUGAACCAUUGUUUGAAAUCUGGCUUGUAAUGCUACUUGGAUGAUAUUUAUCUUUAUCUAUGGAUUGUAAUGUCUCUUU